rnacentral:rRNA from 1 species
AACGUAGGUUCCGAGCGUUAUCCGGAUUUACUGGGCGUAAAGCGCGUUCAGGCGGUUUGGCAAGUCGGGCAUGAAAUCUCUCGGCUCAACCGGGAGAGGUUGUCCGAUACUUCCAGACUUGAGGGCAGUAGAGGGUGGUGGAAUUCCUGGUGUAGCGGUGGAAUGCGCAGAUAUCAGGAGGAACACCGGUGGCGAAGGCGGGAUCCUGGGCCAGUACUGACGCUGAGGAGCGAAAGCGUGGGGAGCAAACAGG